rnacentral:sRNA from 1 species
GCUACACCUACACGCUGACCAUCACAGGCACACAGAGGCACAUCCACCUCACAUCCACCUCAUACUUGUGUACUCUCAGGGUUCAGUCUUUCAACCUAUCCCUCUCUGAUCUGUGCCUCCCAAUACCUUCCAAGAUGUUUACAGAGACCCUUCUUCCUGUGCAGUUAGGAGUGUAAGACAAGAGAGCCCCUACUUCAUGGGGCAGAUCAAGAGCUGAGACCAAAGAUGGUCUAUGUUGCUGACCUUGUCCUGUCCUCCUACUGUCUUAAACUAUGAUCCCUGCUGUGGUCACUGAAGCCUUUCCCUGAGCCACCAUGCAGUGCUUCAGUUUCAUUAAGACCAUGAUGAUCCUCUUCAAUUUGCUCAUCUUUCUGUGUGGUGCGGCCCUGUUGGCAGUGGGCAUCUGGGUGUCAAUCGAUGGGGCAUCCUUUCUGAAGAUCUUCGGGCCGCUGUCGUCCAGUGCCAUGCAGUUUGUCAACGUGGGCUACUUCCUCAUCGCAGCCGGCGUUGUGGUCUUUGCUCUUGGUUUCCUGGGCUGCUAUGGUGCUAAAACUGAGAGCAAGUGUGCCCUCAUGACGGUGUGUCAAACCCAGCUCCACAGGCCGAUGACCAAGAGUCCCCUCGCCCUUGACACCAGGCUCUGGGACCCCCCUAGGCUAAGGCCUCUGUCUCACUUUUCCGGGGGGGGUGGAUUAGGGCAAGGAGGGCAUGAGGGACUGUCUCUCCCUAAAACCCAGACCCCUGUUCCCCACUCAGUUCUUCUUCAUCCUCCUCCUCAUCUUCAUUGCUGAGGUUGCAGCUGCUGUGGUCGCCUUGGUGUACACCA